CCUACGGGAGGCAGCAGUGAGGAAUAUUUGUCAAUGGGCUUACGCCUGAACCAGCCAAGUCGCGUGAGGGAUGACUGCCCUAUGGGUUGUAAACCUCUUUUGUCAGGGAGCAACGCCGGCUACGUGUAGCCGUACUGAGAGUACCUGAAGAAAAAGCAUCGGCUAACUCCGUGCCAGCAGCCGCGGUAAUACGGAGGAUGCGAGCGUUAUCCGGAUUUAGUGGGUUUAAAGGGUGCGUAGGCGGAAUGCCAAGUCAGCGGUAAAAUCGCGGGGCUCAACCUCGCUCUGCCGUUGAAACUGGCGUUCUUGAGUGGGCGAGAAGUAUGCGGAAGGCGUGGUGUAGCGGUGAAAUGCAUAGAUAUCACGCAGAACUCCGAUUGCGAAGGCAGCAUACCGGCGCCCAACUGACGCUGAAGCACGAAAGCGUGGGUAUCGAACAGGAUUAGAUACCCCAGUAGUC
rnacentral:rRNA from 1 species